rnacentral:rRNA from 1 species
GAUGAACGCUGGCGGCGUGCCUAAUACAUGCAAGUCGAGCGAACGGACGAGAAGCUUGCUUCCCUGAUGUUAGCGGCGGACGGGUGAGUAACACGUGGAUAACCUACCUAUAAGACUGGGAUAACUUCGGGAAACCGGAGCUAAUACCAGAUAAUAUUUUGAACCGCAUGGUUCAAAGGUGAAAGACGGUCUUGCUGUCACUUAUAGAUGGAUCCGCGCUGCAUUAGCUAGUUGGUAAGGUAACGGCUUACCAAGGCAACGAUGCAUAGCCGACCUGAGAGGGUGAUCGGCCACACUGGAACUGAGACACGGUCCAGACUCCUACGGGAGGCAGCAGUAGGGAAUCUUCCGCAAUGGGCGAAAGCCUGACGGAGCAACGCCGCGUGAGUGAUGAAGGUCUUCGGAUCGUAAAACUCUGUUAUUAGGGAAGAACAUAUGUGUAAGUAACUGUGCACAUCUUGACGGUACCUAAUCAGAAAGCCACGGCUAACUACGUG